rnacentral:rRNA from 1 species
GAUGAACGCUGGCGGCGUGCUUAACACAUGCAAGUCGAACGGAAAGGCCCUGCUCUUGUGGGUUGCUCGAGUGGCGAACGGGUGAGUAACACGCGAGUAACCUGCCCUUGACUUUGUGAUAACUUCAGGAAACUGGGGCUAAUACCGGAUAGGAGCUCCUGCUGCACGGUGGGGGUUGGAAAGUUUCGGCGGUUGUGGAUGGUCUCGCGGGUUAUCAGCUGGUUGGUGAGGUAGUGGCUUACCAAGCCUUCGACGGGUAGCCCGCCUUGGAGGGUUACCAGCCUCAAUGGGCCUGCGAUACGGAGCAGUAGCCAACGGGCGGCAACAGGCGGGAAUAUGACGCAACGGGCCGGAGUCAGAUGCGAAGGCCUCGCGUGCGGGAAGACGUGCUUCGGGUUAUAAACCGCUUUCGCCUGUAACGAAGCGUGAGUGACGGUAAUGGGUAAAGAAGCACCGGCUAACUACGUG